rnacentral:rRNA from 1 species
AGUGAACGCUGGCGGUAGGCCUAACACAUGCAAGUCGAACGGCAGCACAGUAAUAGCGUGCUCUUACGGGUGGCGAGUGGCGGACAGGUGAGGUAUACAGCGGAAUCUACAUUUUCAUGGGGGAUUAAGAAGGCAAACUCACGCGAAUACCACAUACGACCUACGGGUGAAAGCAGGCGAGCUUCGGACCUUGCGCGAUUAAAUGAGACGAUGUCGGAUUAGCUAGUUGGCGGGGUAAAGGCCCACCAAGGCGACAAUCCGUAGCUGGUCUGAGAGGAUGAUCAGCCCCACUGGAAGUGAGAGACGGUCCAGACUCCGACUGGAGGACGCAGUGGGGACUAUCGGACAAUGGGCGCAAGCCAGAUCCAGCAAUACCGCGUGGGUGAACAAGGCCUUCGGGUUGUGAAGUCCUUUUGUUGGGAGAGGAAAGCAGCAGGUUAAGAACCCGAUGUUCUGACGGUACCUGAAGAAUAAGCACCGGCUAACUCCGUG